AAUUGAAAUAAAGGAGAGGAUUAUCAGUAACUCUUAAGAGGGUAAAUCAUCCGCAAUGUUGGAAAAUAUGUUGAUUGUUCACACUCAGCGGUGCUCUAAACUCUGGACCAAUACGAACAACAUGGGAAGGUUGUUAAAGGCAAACAUACGGUAGACCAAGGAAGACAUCAAAGCAUCAAGAUAGAAACUUAAAAGCAAUAUGUCUCAAA